AAGAUAUGAUGGAAAGGACUACUAACCAUUCGUGGGUAUCUAGAUCAUAUUCACCAUAGAGCUGACCCAUGGUAAUGGAUUUUGGAUUGAGCACGUAGGCAUCCUUCAGUAUCUCAUAACACUGAAAUAAAGGAGAAAAUUGAAUAAGAGGAUAUUUCUUGAGAAAAAAGAAAAGACAAUCUUAGGUCAUGUCAGGUAAAUCGGGCAGUCGUAUAUGGCACAGUUAUUAAAGAAUGUAAAAAAUCUUGAAAAAAAGAGUUUCAGGUAAAAAAUCUGAAAUGUCCAAAAAAAAUGCAAUGUUGCUCUCAUAAAAUAAUAUGCGUGAACAAAAUGAUACCUCUAAUGCCAUUUCAGGAUUUUCACCAUAAAGAUUUAUUUUUAGCAUGCUAAAUUACCCUGCUAAUCCCCAUAAGGAUUGGUUAAAUGAAUGGCCAUACAGUAAAUUGAUACAGAACCCAUUAAGGGCUAAUGGUGUAAUUAGCAGAUUAGAUUUUGUUAAAAACGGCUAAGGGUGACUCGUAUAAAAAAAAAUGUGUAGUCGGUCGGUUCCAAUCUAAUUGGCAAAAUACGCGAGUCCUAACAGACAGCAGAUUCAAUGACAAAUUCAAUGACCAUGUAUCAAUUGCACCGAAGUGGAAAUCGAAAAUUUACUGCAGAGCGAGGAGUAGCGGAAACUUAAAUAUCUGACUCAUAGUAUAACAGUGGUAGUAUAAUAAAAGAGUAUGAAAAAAUGAGGAAAAAAAAUAAAGUCCAUUUGCGAACGACUCGUAUUGAUUUUACGCUUUUCAUUCUUAUUCUCGACACUCUCCUCCAUCUUGUCCUAGCUAUCUUUCUCAAUAUCUGUCUCGCAGAGGAAUCAUCCAGGAAUUCAAGGCGUAAAUAUUUCUCUUGGGAGAUUCGCGUAUCGAGCUGCGAACCUAAGUGGCUGAAAGCGUCCAAAGUGCGGAUACCAUCGAAAAGCACGAAUAUUUCAGGAUCCACGAGAUGUUGAAUAAUUCGCAACAAUAACCUUUCACCUAACUGGCGCGUAGUUGGCGAACGAAAAACAAAAUUCCCAAAAAAUUAUCGCCCAAGAUAAAUCAUAACGAUAAAACGGAAUUCAUGAUGAUCAGAGUUGUGUUUACAUGUUUUCGUAGUUGCGUGAAGGCUUUUGAUUCCGGCUAGACAAGCAAUGCCAAUUAAUCUCUUAUAAUUGGAUUAAAGAUAUACACU